GAGUGUGUCUGAGUUUCCUGCAGCAUCAGGAGAGGGAGAGAGAGACACCAUGAUUCCUACCAAGAUGCUACUGCUCUUGCCGUCAAUGGCUUUGCUGGCCUUGGGGUCUGCUCAGGGCAUCGAUGACGGUAAAUUGGGGAGAUAGAAGAUCAUGCAAGCAUGCGGGAUCUGUGCUUUCCUGCCUAUGUAGAUGAUGAAUUGUUGAAAGAAAACCCCACGGAAUCACAAGUGAAACCUCAAGAAGAAAAUGGAGAUCAGAAUGGCAAGGCGAGCAAAGAUGAAGACAAACACAAUGGACAACAGAAGAAGCCUCAUGACCAUGGUGUCCAGGGAGACCAGGCCACUCUAUUUAACAUAAGUGGCCCACAUCACCCACAUUGCCCACAUUGUCCUGGAGGCCAACAAGGUCCUCAGAGACCAGGUUGCCAAGGUGGUCCAGGUGGCCCACAGGGUCCAGCAGUCCAACAAGGCCCAGGUGGCCAACAACGUCCAGGAGUCCAAGGUGGUCCAGUUGGCCCACAGCGUCCAGCAUGCCAACAGGGCCCAGUUGGCCUACAUCAUCCAGGGACUCAAGGUCAUCCAGAUGGUCCACAGAGUCUAGCAGGGCAACAGAGCUCAGGUGGCCAAGGUGGUCUAGUUGGCCAGCAUGGCUACCGUGGUGUCCAGUGA
rnacentral:lncRNA from 1 species